rnacentral:rRNA from 1 species
UACAGAGGGUGCGAGCGUUAAUCGGAAUUACUGGGCGUAAAGCGCACGUAGUCGGCUUUGCAAGUCGGGUGUGAAAUCCCCGGGCUCAACCUGGGAACUGCAUCCGAGACUGCAUUGCUAGAGUAUGGGAGAGGGAAGCGGAAUUCCUGGUGUAGCGGUGAAAUGACGCAGAUAUCAGGAGGAACACCGGUGGCGAAGGCGGAUCUCUGGGCCAUUACCGACGCUCAGGCGCGACAGCCGUGG